rnacentral:rRNA from 1 species
CGCGGGCUACCAUGCAGUCGGACGGUAGCACAGAGAAGCUGGUUCCUCGUGUGACGAGUGGCACACGGGUGAGUAGUGUGGGGAGAUCCGCCAGAUAGAGGGAGAUAACCUGUGGAAACUGUGGCUAAUACCGUAUAGCGUCAAGAGACCAAAGAGGGAGACCUUCGGGCCUCUCUCUAUCAUAUGAACCCAUAUGGUAUUAUCUAGUGCGCGGGGUAACGGCCCCCCUGCGACACUAUCCCUAUGUGGUCUGAGAGGAUGACCAGCCACUGUGGAUCUGACACACGGUCCACACUCCUACGGGGGGCAACUGUGGGAAAUAUUGCACAGUGGGCGCACGCGUGAUGCACCCGUGCCGCGUGUAUGAAAAGGGUCUUCGGUUUGUAAAGUAUUUUCCGCGGAGAAGAGGGCAGUGGGGUUUAUAACCUUAGUGAUUGAUUUUCCCCGGAAAAAAAGCCCCGGCUAUCUCCGUGCCCGCCCCCGCGGUAAUACAGAGGGUGCAAGCGUUAAUCAAAAUUAGUGGGUGUAACGCGCACAGGGGGUGUGUGAUAUCUGAGAUGUGAACCCCCGGGUCUACAUGUGGACUCUGCUUUUAAAUCUGGCGCGUGAGACUCUCGUAGAGGGGGAUAGUAUUACGUGUGUAGCGGUGAAGUGCAUAGAGAUCUAGAAGUACAGGUGUGGAGAGCGCGCCCCCUGUGCAAGACACUGACUCUCGUGUGCGAGCGCGUGGGCGCACACGAGAAUAUAUACUGUGGUACUACACGCAUACACUAUCUCCAUUAGUGUUGCUCUUGUGAAGAGUGUUUCCAGAUCUCACGCGAAACUAGAGCGUGUGGAGUGUACGCGCGGUUUAACUCUCAUGAGAAUUCAGGGGGCGCGCACGCGUGUAGAGCGUGUGUUAUACUCUAUGCACGCGAGAUAUAUCUACUCGAGACUCACGACUCACAGAUGAUGCUUAGUCUCUCGAACCGUGACACAUGCUGCUGCAUGUCUGUCUCAUCUCGU